rnacentral:rRNA from 1 species
AUUGAACGCUGGCGGCAUGCCUUACACAUGCAAGUCGAACGGAUCCUUCGGGAUUAGUGGCGGACGGGUGAGUAACACGUGGGAACGUGCCCUUUGGUUCGGAACAACUCAGGGAAACUUGAGCUAAUACCGGAUGUGCCCUUCGGGGGAAAGAUUUAUCGCCAUUGGAGCGGCCCGCGUCUGAUUAGCUAGUUGGUGGGGUAAAGGCCCACCAAGGCGACGAUCAGUAGCUGGUCUGAGAGGAUGAUCAGCCACAUUGGGACUGAGACACGGCCCAAACUCCUACGGGAGGCAGCAGUGGGGAAUCUUGCGCAAUGGGCGAAAGCCUGACGCAGCUAUGCCGCGUGAAUGAUGAAGGUCUUAGGAUUGUAAAAUUCUUUCACCGGGGACGAUAAUGACGGUACCCGGAGAAGAAGCCCCGGCUAACUUCGUGCCAGCCGCCGCAGUAA